rfam:Mesocricetus auratus contig003259, whole genome shotgun sequence.
GUCUAUGGCUAUACCACCCUGACUGUGCCUGAUCUAACCUGAUCUUGGAAGCUAAGCAGGGUCAGGCAUGGUUAGUACUUGCAUGGGAAAAAGAGUGUGUGUAUGUGCUGUCUCUG